CAACGCCGCGUGGAGGAUGAAAGCCCCUUGGGGUGUAAACUCCUUUCGAUCGGGAAGAUAAUGACGGUACCGAUAUAAGAAGCCCCGGCUAACUUCGUGC
rnacentral:rRNA from 1 species